AGAGUUUGAUCCUGGCUCAGGACGAACGCUGGCGGCGUGCCUAACACAUGCAAGUCGAACGGACGAGGCCCCUUCGGGGACCGAGUUAGUGGCGGACGGGUGAGUAACGCGUGAGCAACCUGCCUUUCAGAGGGGGACAACAGUUGGAAACGACUGCUAAUACCGCAUGAUGCAGCGAGAUCGCAUGGUCCUGCUGUCAAAGAUUUAUCGCUGAAAGAUGGGCUCGCGUCUGAUUAGCUAGUUGGAGGGGUAACGGCCCACCAAGGCGACGAUCAGUAGCCGGACUGAGAGGUUGAACGGCCACAUUGGGACUGAGAUACGGCCCAGACUCCUACGGGAGGCAGCAGUGGGGAAUAUUGGGCAAUGGGGGAAACCCUGACCCAGCAACGCCGCGUGAAGGAAGAAGGCUUUCGGGUUGUAAACUUCUUUUACCAGGGACGAAGAACGUGACGGUACCUGGAGAAAAAGCCACGGCUAACUACGUGCCAGCAGCCGCGGUAAUACGUAGGUGGCAAGCGUUGUCCGGAUUUACUGGGUGUAAAGGGCGUGUAGGCGGAGCUGCAAGUCAGAUGUGAAAUCUGGGGGCUUAACCCUCAAACUGCAUUUGAAACUGUAGCCCUUGAGUAUCGGAGAGGCAGGCGGAAUUCCCGGUGUAGCGGUGGAAUGCGUAGAUAUCGGGAGGAACACCAGUGGCGAAGGCGGCCUACUGGGCACCAACUGACGCUGAGGCUCGAAAGUGUGGGUAGCAAACAGGAUUAGAUACCCUGGUAGUCCACACCGUAAACGAUGAUUACUAGGUGUUGGAGGAUUGACCCCUUCAGUGCCGCAGUUAACACAAUAAGUAAUCCACCUGGGGAGUACGACCGCAAGGUUGAAACUCAAAGGAAUUGACGGGGGCCCGCACAAGCAGUGGAGUAUGUGGUUUAAUUCGACGCAACGCGAAGAACCUUACCAAGUCUUGACAUCCUGCGACGAUGCUAGAAAUAGUAUUUUCCUUCGGGACGCAGAGACAGGUGGUGCAUGGUUGUCGUCAGCUCGUGUCGUGAGAUGUUGGGUUAAGUCCCGCAACGAGCGCAACCCUUAUGGUCAGUUACUACGCAAGAGGACUCUGGCCAGACUGCCGUUGACAAAACGGAGGAAGGUGGGGAUGACGUCAAAUCAUCAUGCCCUUUAUGACUUGGGCUACACACGUACUACAAUGGCGUUAAACAAAGAGAAGCAAGACCGCGAGGUGGAGCAAAACUCAGAAACAACGUCCCAGUUCGGACUGCAGGCUGCAACUCGCCUGCACGAAGUCGGAAUUGCUAGUAAUCGUGGAUCAGCAUGCCACGGUGAAUACGUUCCCGGGCCUUGUACACACCGCCCGUCACACCAUGAGAGCCGGGGGGACCCGAAGUCGGUAGUCUAACCGCAAGGAGGACGCCGCCGAAGGUAAAACUGGUGAUUGGGGUGAAGUCGUAACAAGGUA
rnacentral:rRNA from 1 species